CCCAACAUCUGACAAUUUCUUAUUGAAGUAUAAAAUGUUUUUGUUAAACUUAAAAAAGUCGUUUCACCUAUUUACCUGCUGACCACAAAGGCGGAUUUAAAAGGUGGCCUCACGCGAAGAGCUGUUAACAGCCGGCCAGUUUUGACGCUCAUGUACGCAUACGUAUACACACACACACGCAAAUUUCUUUGUGUGUGUUGGCAAAACUUUGAUCAGCUUGAUGACAAGAUGGCCGAUUGCACCAUAUGAUUUCUGGUUGUUGUACAAAUGAGACGACUUUUAAUUGUUUCGCCAUACGAUUCACUUACGAUUAUGUGAUUCUCUAAUUCUUCGUUAACAGAAAUCGUUAUCUAUUUUUCCUCUCUGGCAACUCUACCAAAAAAACCGAAAAACACAAAAAGAAUUAUUAAAAAUAAUAUAUAAAACCUCUCAUAGCCUGAAA